ACCGCCCCUAGCGGCCAUUUUAGGUAUCCGCAGUAGUGGUGCUGUGCUAUGGUCGUGGACGGCGCGGGUUCCUUUUGUCCAGGUUUUUUGGCCGUGAAGCAUGAGGUGACAACGUCCCUGAGAUGUGGUGUGGCACAUCUCACUGAGUGCCAUGAUGAGCUCUGGCACCGGGCUUCAAAGUAAAACAAUGCAAAGCAAAGCAGAAGGAGAAGUGCUUGCAGCUGCCCCAGCAAAGAGUGGCUGGGGCACGGUCCUGCGUGAGGGCAAGUCCGUACUCCAGCUCGUAGGAAGCUUCCUCCACUCACAACAGAGGAGACAAAAUGCCCGGAGAAAGUGAGAAAUCAAAGUCAGGGAUGGGAAUAAAAGCAACAGAGACUUUGCUUGUACAAAACCAGCCCAGCACAAGGAAGUUAUCAGCAGCGGUGGACAUAGCCAGAGGAGCAAGGACAGUCAGAAAACCUGCUGGUCAAGUGGCAGCCCGGCUGUACCUCCUAGCUUACGUCCUUUUCGGGUAAUGAAAGAAGCUACAGUUUCUUAAAGGAAGGACAGAGGAACAUCCUCUUCAGACUGACACAAAAAGGGUUAAAGUGAGAACAGCCUGGGCUGAGCUCUGCUCCUCUUUGCAUCUGGACUUGCAUAAAAUCAAACCGGGCCAGCAGUUUGUCUACUCCAACUAAAAUGUAAAUGGAAAAUGUGCAAUACAUGCAUUAAAAAAAAACAAAAACAAAACAAAACAAAACAAACAAACAAAAAAAAAAAAACCAAAAAACAAAAACCAAAAAAACAGUGCAGGAGGCGUUUAUGCGUGUCUCACAGUGAGGUUGUAGCCAGCAGUGCAGAAGAAUGAAUCUUCAUUUUCUGCUCGUUUCUUUCAAGUACCUUGUUUCUGUUUAGAAAGCAAAGUGUUAAGUAUUUGCAAAUACAACAGCCCUGCAAACAUGCUAGCUUACAACUUCUCCCCAGCUGUGUCUUUAAUGACCUUGGACAUUAGAGAACAUUUACUGAGAGGGGAUGUUGCCCAGGCCACUGGGGUUAUCUGCUGCCCUCUCUGAGCACAUUCCCUCCAAUAGCUGACCUAGCUGAGUUAGGAGGAGGAAUGGGUUUCAACAGCGCUACAAACAGUGUUGAUGCUACAGAGGCAGAGGGGCUUCUGAGAUUAGCAUCUGUAUUUAUGGUGCUGAGUAAAGCCAAGUCAAACUUGAAGGUAAAGACACUAGUUAAUAUUUUAAGUAAGUCCCAAAUUAGCUGCAAAACUAACAGGAAUGCUUUCUUAGUAUUGGCAGCUUUGAAGUACUCUGGAACAGUUUGGUACACCUCCAUUGGGCUCAUUGGAGAGCUUGUGAGGUGAGUGUGGCUCAUUCAGUUACGUGUACACAGGGUUGGAAUCCCAAAUAAUGAGCAGAAUUGUUGUCUACAGUAAUGCGUAAGAAAAAGUAUACGUGAUGGAACCCAGUCAGAGCUGAAGUUCCUAGCAGUGUGCUUGGCCACGAUAACCAGCAAAGGAUAAAAAUAAUAUGUGUUUAAUACUAGGAAUUCUCUGUUUCGGGUAGCACUAGGGGAUCUGUGAAGGACUGAGACAUCUUUGUUUUAUGCAGAACAUCCCUGCAGGAUGAAAAUCUCCUGUCUUUUAAAGGCGUUCUCUUCUGAAGCAGUUCGUUGUCCCUGGUAGCAUCUGUCCUCCUCAGGCCCUGGUGUCAUCCUCUGAGAAGCACACACCUCACGUUCCCAGGCCAGGAAGCAAGCAGUCUGUUGCCUUCUCUUCUUUCUUGCCAUGAAACCAUCAUGCUUCUGGCCUUCUUUGCUCAUCCCCAUGGGUUUCGCUGCUGGUGACUGUCUGCAACAGCUUGCAGCAGGAGGACUACGUCCAAGUGAAAGCCGGCAAUGAGCGGUGUCCCCCGGGAGUCUGUCUUUAGACCUUACUCUUUGACAUCGUUAUCAGUGACGUAGACGAGGGGGUUCAGUGCACCCUCAGCAAGCUUGCAGUCGACACCAAGCUGGUGCAGUUAGGACGACAAAAGGAAGGGAUGCUGUCCAUCGGUGGCUGAACGAGCUUGAAAGAUGGGCGCAUGUGAAUCCAAUGAGGUUUCCCAAGGCCAUGUUCAAGGUAUUGCACUUGGGUCAGGGCAGUUCCAUAUAUGAGUACAGACUGGAAGAAGAACUCCUUGAGAACAGUCCUGCUCAGAAAGACUUAGAGUCCCGAUAGAUUAAAAAGCUAAUGUGAGCGAGCAGUGUGUGCCCGCAGCCCAGAAGGUCAACAGUAUCCUGGGCUGCUUCAGGAGAGGAAUGACCAGCAGGGAGGGGGAGGGUAUUAUCCCUCUCUACUCUGCCUUCAUGACGUCCCAGCUGGAGUACUGUGUCCAGCUCUGGGGCCCCCAGUACAGCAGGGAUGCAGAAAUGUUGGAGCAGGUCCAGAGGAGGGCCACAAAGAUGAUCAAAGGGCUAUGGAGGUAGAAACAGCAACCCCAACUGCCUUGUCUAUAAAAAAGACUUUUUUAUUAAAACAAAUUAUUUUUAUCUUCUCUCCG